rnacentral:rRNA from 1 species
AUUGAACGCUAGCGGGAUGCUUUACACAUGCAAGUCGAACGGCAGCGCGGACUUCGGUCUGGCGGCGAGUGGCGAACGGGUGAGUAAUGUAUCGGAACGUGCCCAGUAGCGGGGGAUAACUACGCGAAAGCGUAGCUAAUACCGCAUACGCCCUACGGGGGAAAGCAGGGGAUCGUAAGACCUUGCACUAUUGGAGCGGCCGAUAACGGAUUAGCUAGUUGGUGAGGUAACGGCUCACCAAGGCGACGAUCCGUAGCUGGUUUGAGAGGACGACCAGCCACACUGGGACUGAGACACGGCCCAGACUCCUACGGGAGGCAGCAGUGGGGAAUUUUGGACAAUGGGGGCAACCCUGAUCCAGCCAUCCCGCGUGUGCGAUGAAGGCCUUCGGGUUGUAAAGCACUUUUGGCAGGAAAGAAACGUCGCGGGCUAAUACCCCGUGGAACUGACGGUACCUGCAGAAUAAGCACCGGCUAACUACGUG